rnacentral:rRNA from 1 species
AUACGGAGGAUCCGAGCGUUAUCCGGAUUUAUUGGGUUUAAAGGGUGCGCAGGCGGCCAUUUAAGUCAGCGGUUAAAUCGUGGGGCUCAACCCCAUUCUGCCGUUGAUACUGGGUGGCUUGAUUGCGGUCGAGGUUGGCGGAAUUCGUUGUGUAGCGGUGAAAUGCAUAGAUAUGACGAAGAACACCGAUUGCGUAGGCAGCUGACCAGACCGCAAAUGACGCUCAUGCACGAAAGUGCGGGGAUCGAGCAGGAUUAGAUACCCUGGUAGUCCGCACAGUAAACGAUGAAUACUUGUUUUCGGCGAUAUAAUGUCGGAGGCAAAGCGAAAGCGAUAAGUAUUCCACCUGGGGAGUACGCCGGCAACGGUGAAACUCAAAGGAAUUGACGGGG